CCUGAUAGUGGGGGAUAACGUCCGGAAACGGACGCUAAUACCGCAUACGUCCUACGGGAGAAAGCAGGGGACCUUCGGGCCUUGCGCUAUCAGAUGAGCCUAGGUCGGAUUAGCUAGUUGGUGAGGUAAAGGCUCACCCAAGGCGACGAUCCGUAACUGGUCUGAGAGGAUGAUCAGUCACACUGGAACUGAGACACGGUCCAGACUCCUACGGGAGGCAGCAGUGGGGAAUAUUGGACAAUGGGCGAAAGCCUGAUCCAGCCAUGCCGCGUGUGUGAAGAAGGUCUUCGGAUUGUACAGCACUUUAAGUUGCGAGGAAGGGUCGUUACCUAAUACGUGACGAUUUUGACGUUACCGACAGAAUAAGCACCGGCUAACUCU
rnacentral:rRNA from 1 species